ACGAAGUCGCGAGACUGAGUGGCGGAAGGGUUAGUAAGACAUGAGUAACCUACCUUUAACAUGGGAAUAACGACUGGAAACGGUCGCUAAUACCGAAUGAGGUGGCGGCAAGGCAUCUUGAAGCCAUCAAAGUGGGGGACCGAGCAAUCGGCCUUGCAGUUGAAGAGGGGCUCAUGGGAUAUCAGCUAGUUGGUGGGGUAAAGGCCUACCAAGG
rnacentral:rRNA from 1 species